rnacentral:rRNA from 1 species
AGCAGCAGCCGCGGGAAUACGUAGGGUGCGAGCGUUAAUCGGAAUUACUGGGCGUAAAGCGUGCGCAGGCGGUUAUAUAAGACAGAUGUGGAAUCCCCGGGCUCAACCUGGGACCUGCAUUUGUGACUGUAUAGCUAGAGUACGGUAGAGGGGGAUGGAAUUCCGCGUGUAGCAGUGAAAUGCGUAGAUAUGCGGAGGAACACCGAUGGCGAAGGCAAUCCCCUGGACCUGUACUGACGCUCAUGCACGAAAGCGUGGGGAGCAAACAGGAUUAGAUACCCCAGUAGUCCCUGUCUCUUAUAC